rnacentral:rRNA from 1 species
GGACGACCCUUCGGGAGCUUAUACAGGUGUUGCAUGGCUGUCGUCAGCUCGUGUCGUGAGAUGUUCGGUUAAGUCCGCUAACGAGCGCAACCCUCGCCGUAUGUUACAAGUGUCAUACGGGACUGCCGGUAAAAAGCCGGAGGAAGGUGAGGAUGAUGUCAAGUCAGCAUGACCUUUAUAUCCAGGGCUACACACACGCUACAAUGGUCUGUACAAUUGGUUGCCAAGCCGCGAGGCGGAGCCAAUCCGUAAAGCAGGCCUCAGUUCAGAUUGCAGUCUGCAACUCGACUGCAUGAAGCCGGAGUUGCUAGUAACCGCAGGUCAGCAAUACUGCGAUGAAUACGUUCCCGGGUCUU